rfam:Oryza barthii chromosome 7, whole genome shotgun sequence.
UUUAAGUGCAGUUGUGGAUUUCUGUGUCUCAUGUUUGAUCGUCCGUCUUAUUUUAAAUUUUUUUAUGUUUAGUAUUUUUAUUGUUGUUAGAUGAUAAAACAUACUAGUAAUUCAUGUGUGACUUGUUUUUUAAAAUUUUUUAUAUUUUUUUAAAUAAAACGGACAGUUAGAUAUUGGAUAUAAAAACCUAUGUAACUGCGCUUAAA